UGGGGAAUAUUGCACAAUGGGCGCAAGCCUGAUGCAGCAACGCCGCGUGCGGGAUGACGGCCUUCGGGUUGUAAACCGCUUUUGAUCGGGAGCAAGCCUUCGGGUGAGUGUACCUUUCGAAUAAGCACCGGCUAACUACGUGCCAGCAGCCGCGGUAAUACGUAGGGUGCAAGCGUUAUCCGGAAUUAUUGGGCGUAAAGGGCUCGUAGGCGGUUCGUCGCGUCCGGUGUGAAAGUCCAUCGCUUAACGGUGGAUCUGCGCCGGGUACGGGCGGGCUGGAGUGCGGUAGGGGAGACUGGAAUUCCCGGUGUAACGGUGGAAUGUGUAGAUAUCGGGAAGAACACCAAUGGCGAAGGCAGGUCUCUGGGCCGUUACUGACGCUGAGGAGCGAAAGCGUGGGGAGCGAACAGGAUUAGAUACCCUGGUAGUCCACGCCGUAAAUGGUGGAUGCUGGAUGUGGGGCCCGUUCCACGGGUUCCGUGUCGGAGCUAACGCGUUAAGCAUCCCGCCUGGGGAGUACGGCCGCAAGGCUAAAACUCAAAGAAAUUGACGGGGGCCCGCACAAGCGGCGGAGCAUGCGGAUUAAUUCGAUGCAACGCGAAGAACCUUACCUGGGCUUGACAUGUUCCCGACAGCCGUAGAGAUAUGGCCUCCCUUCGGGGCGGGUUCACAGGUGGUGCAUGGUCGUCGUCAGCUCGUGUCGUGAGAUGUUGGGUUAAGUCCCGCAACGAGCGCAACCCUCGCCCUGUGUUGCCAGCACGUCAUGGUGGGAACUCACGGGGGACCGCCGGGGUCAACUCGGAGGAAGGUGGGGAUGACGUCAGAUCAUCAUGCCCCUUACGUCCAGGGCUUCACGCAUGCUACAAUGGCCGGUACAACGGGAUGCGACACGGCGACGUGGAGCGGAUCCCUGAAAACCGGUCUCAGUUCGGAUUGGAGUCUGCAACCCGACUCCAUGAAGGCGGAGUCGCUAGUAAUCGCGGAUCAGCAACGCCGCGGUGAAUGCGUUCCC
rnacentral:rRNA from 1 species